AUCCAGAUGUCGAGUCCCAUAUAGGACGAAAUGCGCUUCAUCCUGGAU
rfam:Trichobilharzia regenti genome assembly, scaffold: TRE_scaffold0013262